rnacentral:sRNA from 1 species
UGUAGCAAAUGGACAUCCAAAAAAAUUUCAGUUGAAAAUUGUCAAGACGGCAGAAGACCAAGAGGCAGAGAGAAGAGUGGAAACUGACUUCUCCUAGCAAAUGCUGUCUUUGCUUAGAGCACUACACUGUCUCUUUACUGGAAUUUUCUAGAGCUACCUAAGGAAGGAACACAGAUGCUGAUUUCUACCUUCCGAGGUCUCACUUUAUGACAUUGUCGAACAGAUCCGAAUAUUCACAAAUCCUUAAGGGAUUACAUCCAGAAACGGACUUCCCCAAGAACUGGCAUCCAAGAUGGCCUCCAAAGUCCUGACUCCUUUAAUGUGCAAUUACCAGUUGUGUAGUUUCCCAUGAAUUCACAUUCAAGUGAAAACAGCGCCUUAAAUGAUAUAACUUCACUCUGAAUGCUGGCCUAAAAGGAAGCCUGCUGUGUCAAACAGGCUCACCUAAGUCUACAGAAGUCAACUAGUGCUCACUGUCAUCUGCAAGCAGUGCUCCAGUGGGGACCGAAUGUGCUUCUUCAGGACCAUCUGUAACACGGGGGUAGGGUGAUGAUUGAUCUUUUUGCAUGAUAUAUUUAUGUUAAGUAUUAAUCAACAGCUCUUGAUAAAGAAAAACACCGCGUACGCCUAAGCAAACACACAUGACACUGAAAAAUGAUUUUAAAUGCAAGCAGCUUUGCAGACAUUCUCAUGAAGGAUCCCAAGCGUUAGCAGUUACAGUCUCAGGGGGAAGACUGGUCUCCAUCCAUGAAACAAAUGUUGAGACUUUUUAAAUACAUGAGAUGUUGCAACACAGAUGUCAAGAUGCAUUGAUACUAAGAGUUGGAGGAACAGGGAAAAUGAUGGCAGCGUAAGACAGGCCCAUGUCAAGGAAGUGUUAAGCAGGAGAAGAGAAAAUGGAGGAAAGAGUGUGCUUUCUCCUCUUCCCUUCCACUGGGUAUGAAUGUACUGAGGCAUUGUUUUCAUGGGAGCUGCUUGGAUAGCUGUAUUCAAAGCCAAGCCUGGACCAAACAAUGGCAUCGGGCACUUGUUAAGCAUCUCUUUAUGCUGGAACAUCUGCUAGAGGCUUCAUUAUUCUUUUAUCCAACAGAGAGUGCAAUUCUUGUUAUCCACAGACGGAUGAAAGACAUCUCCUAGGUUAUAAAAGCAGCAUUAAGAGUCUUUUCCUCCCUAUGCUGAAACACUGAAAGUACUAGGACUGGGGAGACAACCUGCCUUUAAGAGCACUUGUCGCCUUGUAGAGGACCUAGGUCUGAUUCCCAGAACCCACACAGAGGUUCAUAACCACUUAUAACUCCAGUUACAAGGGAUCAAUGCCCUCUUCUGACCUCCUCAGGUACUAGGCACACGUAGUCCACAUGCAUAUAUGGAGCCAAAAUUUACACAUUUAAAAUAAGUAAAUCUAAAAAGUAUUACAAAAACUGUUGUUAGUGUACAUAGACAUCAUUGCUGUGCCAAGAGGUAACCAACAGGUGUGACACUUUCUAAGAAGUAUAACACUAAAAUAUAUUCCAUUUUCAUACAGCUGUCCAUCCCUAGUAAUAGUAUUCCUGGGAG